rnacentral:rRNA from 1 species
AGGACGAACGCUGGCGGCGUGCUUAACGCAUGCAAGUCGAACGGAAAGGCCCGCUUGCGGGUACUCGAGUGGCGAACGGGUGAGUAACACGUGGGCAACCUGCCCUCAGCUUCGGGAUAACACUUGGAAACAGGUGCUAAUACCGGAUAAUAACCUUUCAUCGCAUGGUGUGGGGUUCAAAGUUUUUCGGCUGGGGAUGGGCCCGCGGCCUAUCAGCUUGUUGGUGGGGUAAUGGCCUACCAAGGCGACGACGGGUAGCCGGCCUGAGAGGGCGACCGGCCACACUGGGACUGAGACACGGCCCAGACUCCUACGGGAGGCAGCAGUGGGAAUAUUGCGCAAUGGGCGGAAGCCUGACGCAGCGACGCCGCGUGAGGGAUGACGGCCUUCGGGUUGUAAACCUCUUUCAGCUCUGACGAAGCGCAAGUGACGGUAGGAGCAGAAGAAGCACCGGCCAACUACGUGCCAGCACGGCCGC